rnacentral:rRNA from 1 species
AGGACGAACGCUGGCGGCGUGCUUAACACAUGCAAGUCGAACGGAAAGGCCCUUUCGGGGGUGCUCGAGUGGCGAACGGGUGAGUAACACGUGGGUGAUCUGCCCUGCACUUUGGGAUAAGCCUGGGAAACUGGGUCUAAUACCGAAUACACCUUGCUGGCUGCAUGGCUGGUGGGGGAAAGCUUUUGCGGUGUGGGAUGGGCCCGCGGCCUAUCAGCUUGUUGGUGGGGUGAUGGCCUACCAAGGCGACGACGGGUAGCCGGCCUGAGAGGGUGUCCGGCCACACUGGGACUGAGAUACGGCCCAGACUCCUACGGGAGGCAGCAGUGGGGAAUAUUGCACAAUGGGCGCAAGCCUGAUGCAGCGACGCCGCGUGAGGAUGACGGCCUUCGGGUUGUAAACCUCUUUCAGUAUCGACGAAGCGCAAGUGACGGUAGGAGCAGAAGAAGCACCGGCCAACUACGUGCCAGCACGCCGC